rnacentral:lncRNA from 1 species
CUGGUACUGCUGUAUUGAUCAGUUGGUUUUAUUAAUGUGUUAAAUUUUGUGGUUGCCACAGGAUCAUACUUUGUGAUAGAAGAGCUAAUAGCUGGAGAACUCUGCCAUGAAAGUCCCAAUCAGCCCAACCUUAGCAGGUAGAAGUGAAAAAACAGAAUUUGUAGAGAAAGAACACGGAAGUGAUGCCUGGAAGCAAAAGUAGAACUGGAUUGUUUUCUUGGAGCUCUUUGGCAUGGGGAAAGGAGCCCAACAUGCUCACAUCUCACUGAUUUGAACAGCAGCUGAAAAACUAAGGAGAAAAAUCAUCCCACUCUGGCCAUGGUCACAGCAAUGGGAGUUCAGCCCAAGGCAGCUGUGCCCUGCAGCUGCCCCUGAAGGUCAGCAGAGAGAGGAUACAACCACCACUCCCUGGGAGUGAAGGGCUCGUCACAGCCCCCAGCACCGCUGGGAUGGCGUGAGUGGGAUGCCAGCAGACAUCUCUGUAGGGUGCUA